rnacentral:rRNA from 1 species
GUAGGGAAUCUUCCACAAUGGACGCAAGUCUGAUGGAGCAACGCCGCGUGAGUGAAGAAGGUUUUCGGACCGUAAAGCUCUGUUGUUGGUGAAGAAGGAUAGAGGUAGUAACUGGCCUUUAUUUGACGGUAAUCAACCAGAAAGUCACGGCUAACUACGUGCCAGCAGCCGCGGUAAUACGUAGGUGGCAAGCGUUGUCCGGAUUUAUUGGGCGUAAAGCGAGCGCAGGCGGAAGAAUAAGUCUGAUGUGAAAGCCCUCGGCUUAACCGAGGAAUUGCAUCGGAAACUGUUUUCUUGAGUGCAGAAGAGGAGAGUAGAACUCCAUGUGUAGCGGUGGAAUGCGUAGAUAUAUGGAAGAAUACCAGUGGCGAAGGCGGCUCUCUGGUCUGCAACUGACGCUGAGGCUCGAAAGCAUGGGUAGCGAACAGGAUUAGAUACCC